rnacentral:rRNA from 1 species
UACGAAGGGUGCAAGCGUUACUCGGAAUUACUGGGCGUAAAGCGUGCGUAGGUGGUUUGUUAAGUCUGCUGUGAAAGCCCUGGGCUCAACCUGGGAAUUGCAUUGGAUACUGGCAGGCUAGAGUGCGGUAGAGGAUGGCGGAAGUCCCGGUGUAGCAGUGAAAUGCGUAGAGAUCGGGAGGAACAGCUGUGGCGAAGGCGGCCAUCUGGACCAGCACUGACACUGAGGCACGAAAGCGUGGGGAGCAAACAGG